rnacentral:rRNA from 1 species
UACGAAGGGGGCGAGCGUUGUUCGGAAUCACUGGGCGUAAAGGGCGCGUAGGCGGCCCUCCUUGUCGCGUGUGAAAGCCCCCCGCUCAACGGGGGAAGGUCGCUGGAAACUGCGCUUCUUGAGGGCGGCAGAGGGAAGUGGAAUUGCUGGUGUAGCGGUGAAAUGCGUAGAGAUCAGCAGGAACACCCGUGGCGAAGGCGGCUUCCUGGGCCGCGCCUGACGCUGAGACGCGAAAGCGUGGGGAGCGAACGGG